GCAGGUGAAGGCGCGGAGCGUCGUCAUGGCGGUGAUCGCGGAGACGAUGCUUCCGCUAACCCGGAACCGCUGCCGCUGACCCGGAAGCCAUCCCGCGCCCCAGCGCCACUUCCGCCACGGAAAGGCAGCGGAAGCGUCCCCGCCCCGCAGAACUGCCCCGCUCCCGGCCCGGCCCGGCUCCCACACAGCUCCGCUCCCGGCCCGGGAUCUGCCGCCGCCGGCCGUGACGGACAGAGGCAGCGGAGGAUAAAGGACCGCAUUGCAUACGACCUUACAGAUCCAGACCUUUAGACUGACCCUCAGACCGACCCUCGGAAGAGGACCAGCAGCAUGUUUUGUGGAUACUGAACAACGAAUGUCCCUAAGACGUUGGUUUGGACUUGGGAGAAGUGGGGGCCCAUUAUGGGAAUAUGGAUACAGUGUUUUUGGUGAACCAGUGCUAGGCGGAGCCUAUUAUACAAGAAACACACGGUUAUUAGCCCUAGAUUGGCAACAUGACAGCCUAGAGAACUGGUAGUUAGAAAAACUUUUGCCUUCUGCUAUACCCUGUAUUGAAUGUCAUACCACUGACCACCAGUCCUGGGUACUGUGUCAGUGUAAGGCGUGUGACAAAAAGUGGUACUGUGCCUCUUCUCGAAGACCAGAGUUUUGCAGAAUUUGUGACCCACGAGAACGAGUGCUCCCACUUACGGAAGCUAACAUAGUAGCCUUAGUGUGUGGAAAGAAAAGACUGGUUCCUGAUCAGUGGGAAGUACCUGAAGAACAGUGCGAAAAGACAGUAAGAGUGUGUGAAAAAAUUGCCUAAAAACAUAGGCCAUGAUGAGCAAAGGGCGAGGUAGUCUACAGAAAACAAUACACAUUGCUUUUCAUGCAGUGCAUUCAACGAGCUAUAGACAAAGCAUUAAAGGCUGUUUUAAUUAUAAACAAAGAAGGGGUAAUUAUGGAGGUGAACAGUGUCACGUCCCUCGGGCCUGGGACAAUGGACAUUGUUGCACUAGUUGGCAGAAGCUGUAGGAACAGUAAGCAGGAGAAGAAGACAUGGAAAAAGAAGACACAAGACUGCAAGAAGGACCUUGGUUGCUAAGAACUGUAGUUAUUUGUAUCUGUUAAAGCAUAUGCUGAAUUAUGUAGUUUGAGAAAGUAAGCAUAAGUAGAAAAUUACCAAUUGUUCUGCUUGAAUUACCUAUUAUUCUGCCUAGGGUAUAUAAGUAUAUGCAUUCUUAAGUAAAGGUCUUCGUUUUUGCACUGGAACGGAGUCCGUGCCCUCAAUCCCAACAGGGUCAGUCACCACAAAGAGGUGUCAAACUACUCCAGGCUCCCAGGCAUGAACCCGCAGAACUGUUCUUCCUGGUGUUGCAGUGCUGAGCCCAACAAGGAGAUGUGCACCCUCUGCACUCAAUGGCUGAAACGUGUAUUGCUUGCCAGCUGGUUCCUCUUGUUAAGAGAGCUGAACACAAAAGUACUUUUUUCUGCCAUGAUCCUCACUGGGGUAGACAACAAAUAUGGUAUUACUGAUGGGUAUGAGUAAUAUAAUUGGCAGCAUUUAAGGUCUGAAGAGAGGGGAAUUGUAGAUAAUAGCUUAAAUCAAUUAAAAAUCCUCUUAGGUAAAAAAUCACAGUGUGCCUACUACAAAUUAUUCUGUUGCACUGGUAAGUUUACAAAGGUAGAUACAUAAAAAGGAAACGACUAUAAAUAAAAAUAUAUUUCUUGUUAAUAA